AACCCUACCUUAGCGAGUCUCCAGCCCCACCCAUUCCAUUCCGCCUCCAGCCCCAAAUUAAAUUUUCCAGCCUCCCUCAUCAGAUCCUCGUCGAAUUCGUCAAAUUCGUCAGAUCCUCGUCUUCGUCGUCUUCGUCUAGGCAUCGUCAUCCUCAUCCAGGCGCUGUCAUCCUCGUCCAGGCGCCGUCAAAUUCGUCAGAUCCUGCGCCGUUCGCCGUUCGGCUAGGCGUCAUCAUCCUCGUCCAGGCGCCGUCAGAUCCCAAGUUCAUCUUCGCCGUCAGAUCCUCGUCUAGCGUCAGAUCCCAAGUUCAUCUUCGCCGUCAGAUCCUCGUCCACUCCAGUCGUCAUCCUCGUCCAGUCGUCAUCCCCGUCCAGUCAUUCUCGUUCGUCAUCGUUCGUCGUUGUUCGUCAUCAGGAAGAAAAACGUCUCAAUUUAUUUUCUCCUCGGUUUGAGAACUCUAUGAUCACUAGGUUUGGGUUGAGUUUUGGUCGAAGAAAUGGAUGAGGCGAUGGAUGACUUGGGAUCGAAUGGCAGCGGAAGGGAAACGGUCGAGAGAGGUGGUUACGAUGAUGACUCGUUGGGCAAGAAACCGCGAAAGCAUGGGAGCAAGGAUAGGAAGAAUCGCGAGAGCAAGGAAAGGGGAAGGUCGAAGGAGAGGGAGAGAGAAGACUCUUACAGAAAGCAUUCAGACAGGCAUGAUACGAAGGAAAGGGACAGAGAGAGAGAUAGGGACCGGCAUCGCGAUAAGGAAAG